UCUCGCUCGCGGCGGCUGCCGUGCUUGCUUUAGGCGCGGGCUCCGCGCAAGCGCGGAUGGUUGGCCCGUUCGAAGUGGGCGGCGCGAUC
rnacentral:tRNA from 1 species